rnacentral:rRNA from 1 species
CGGGACACGUGGUAUCCUGUCUGAAUAUGGGGGGACCAUCCUCCAAGGCUAAAUACUCCUGACUGACCGAUAGUGAACCAGUACCGUGAGGGAAAGGCGAAAAGAACCCCGGCGAGGGGAGUGAAAAAGAACCUGAAACCGUGUACGUACAAGCAGUGGGAGCACAGAGCAAUCUGUGUGACUGCGUACCUUUUGUAUAAUGGGUCAGCGACUUAUAUUCUGUAGCAAGGUUAACCGAAUAGGGGAGCCGAAGGGAAACCGAGUCUUAACUGGGCGUUAAGUUGCAGGGUAUAGACCCGAAACCCGGUGAUCUAGCCAUGGGCAGGUUGAAGGUUGGGUAACACUAACUGGAGGACCGAACCGACUAAUGUUGAAAAAUUAGCGGAUGACUUGUGGCUGGGGGUGAAAGGCCAAUCAAACCGGGAGAUAGCUGGUUCUCCCCGAAAGCUAUUUAGGUAGCGCCUCGUGAAUUCAUCUCCGGGGGUAGAGCACUGUUUCGGCAAGGGGGUCAUCCCGACUUACCAACCCGAUGCAAACUGCGAAUACCGGAGAAUGUUAUCACGGGAGACACACGGCGGGUGCUAACGUCCGUCGUGAAGAGGGAAACAACCCAGACCGCCAGCUAAGGUCCCAAAGUCAUGGUUAAGUGGGAAACGAUGUGGGAAGGCCCAGACAGCCAGGAUGUUGGCUUAGAAGCAGCCAUCAUUUAAAGAAAGCGUAAUAGCUCACUGGUCGAGUCGGCCUGCGCGGAAGAUGUAACGGGGCUAAACCAUGCACCGAAGCUGCGGCAGCGACGCUUAUGCGUUGUUGGGUAGGGGAGCGUUCUGUAAGCCUGCGAAGGUGUGCUGUGAGGCAUGCUGGAGGUAUCAGAAGUGCGAAUGCUGACAUAAGUAACGAUAAAGCGGGUGAAAAGCCCGCUCGCCGGAAGACCAAGGGUUCCUGUCCAACGUUAAUCGGGGCAGGGUGAGUCGACCCCUAAGGCGAGGCCGAAAGGCGUAGUCGAUGGGAAACAGGUUAAUAUUCCUGUACUUGGUGUUACUGCGAAGGGGGGACGGAGAAGGCUAUGUUGGCCGGGCGACGGUUGUCCCGGUUUAAGCGUGUAGGCUGGUUUUCCAGGCAAAUCCGGAAAAUCAAGGCUGAGGCGUGAUGACGAGGCACUACGGUGCUGAAGCAACAAAUGCCCUGCUUCCAGGAAAAGCCUCUAAGCAUCAGGUAACAUCAAAUCGUACCCCAAACCGACACAGGUGGUCAGGUAGAGAAUACCAAGGCGCUUGAGAGAACUCGGGUGAAGGAACUAGGCAAAAUGGUGCCGUAACUUCGGGAGAAGGCACGCUGAUAUGUAGGUGAAGUCCCUCGCGGAUGGAGCUGAAAUCAGUCGAAGAUACCAGCUGGCUGCAACUGUUUAUUAAAAACACAGCACUGUGCAAACACGAAAGUGGACGUAUACGGUGUGACGCCUGCCCGGUGCCGGAAGGUUAAUUGAUGGGGUUAGCGCAAGCGAAGCUCUUGAUCGAAGCCCCGGUAAACGGCGGCCGUAACUAUAACGGUCCUAAGGUAGCGAAAUUCCUUGUCGGGUAAGUUCCGACCUGCACGAAUGGCGUAAUGAUGGCCAGGCUGUCUCCACCCGAGACUCAGUGAAAUUGAACUCGCUGUGAAGAUGCAGUGUACCCGCGGCAAGACGGAAAGACCCCGUGAACCUUUACUAUAGCUUGACACUGAACAUUGAGCCUUGAUGUGUAGGAUAGGUGGGAGGCUUUGAAGUGUGGACGCCAGUCUGCAUGGAGCCGACCUUGAAAUACCACCCUU